UCAGUGAACCAGAAAAACAUGGUUUCGAGUUUCCACUUAUAGCAUGUUGUGGCUACGGUGGAAAGUACAAUUACAGUAGUACUAUUGGAUGUGGAGAUACAGUUACAGAAGACGAUGGUACCCAAAUAGUUGUGGGUUCUUGUGAUCGCCCUGCAGUUCGAGUAAGUUGGGAUGGAGCUCACUACACUGAAGCUGCCAAUAAAUUUA
rnacentral:misc_RNA from 1 species